rnacentral:rRNA from 1 species
CGUGCGGUUCUAUUUUGUUGGUUUCUAGGACCGCCGUAAUGAUUAAUAGGGACAGUCGGGGGCAUCAGUAUUCAAUUGUCAGAGGUGAAAUUCUUGGAUUUAUUGAAGACUAACUACUGCGAAAGCAUUUGCCAAGGAUGUUUUCAUUAAUCAGGAACGAAAGUUAGGGGAUCGAAGACGAUCAGAUACCGUCGUAGUCUUAACCGUAAACGAUGCCGACUAGGGAUCGGACGGUGUUAUUACUUGACCCGUUCGGCGCCUUACGAGAAAUCAAAGUGCUUGGGCUCCAGGGGGAGUAUGGUCGCAAGGCUGAAACUUAAAGAAAUUGACGGAAGGGCACCACCAGGGGUGGAGCCUGCGGCUUAAUUUGACUCAACACGGGGAAACUCACCAGGUCCAGACACAAUGAGGAUUGACAGAUUGAGAGCUCUUUCUUGAUUUUGUGGGUGGUGGUGCAUGGCCGUUCUUAGUUGGUGGAGUGAUUUGUCUGCUUAAUUGCGAUAACGAACGAGACCUUAACCUGCUAAAUAGCCCGUACUGCUUUGGCAGUACGCUGGCUUCUUAGAGGGACUAUCGGCUCAAGCCGAUGGAAGUUUGAGGCAAUAACAGGUCUGUGAUGCCCUUAG